GUGGCGGUGCGAAGAGUUCGAAGGUUGACGAGCGAAAACCUAAUUUCUCGCCCUUGAGGACCGAAAACAAAUCUCCAGGAUUGGUCGGCGAUGUCACCGUCCCGGCGGGGGAAAAUCUCGCCGGCGAGAUGAGAGAUAGGGCUAAAUUCUCAGUUUCGCUUUGUCGGCGAGAGAUUGGGGAUGAUUUUAUGGUGAUUGCCGGACAUAGACCGCCUCGGAGACCCAAGAAGCGGCCAAAGAUUGUGCAAGAACAGCUUGAUUGUCUUUUUCCGGGCUUGUGGUUGACAGAAAUCACCGCGGAUAUAUACAAAGUUCCUGAAGUUCCUGAAACUGGAAAACAAUAGAAAUUGAUGGAAUUGAUGCUGUUUCUGGAGGCUUGAAGGUUUAUCUGCUUGCUGACCACACUGGUGCAUUGUUGACCUCUUAUUAGUGGUAUACCGCACCAUCUUUGUCGAUUGGGAAUUCGAUGGAAGUGUUGAAUUCCUGGGUAUGAUGUGGUGCAAGCUUUAGUUGACUUAUAAAGCUAAUCUUGUUAAUUAUAAUUAUUUUUAGUCAUGUUUUUUUUUUUUUUUAAUUGGAAUAAAAUUGUACAGAGAAAAAAUGGCAGGAUGUUGCUAGAAGUAAAUGCUUUAAUAUAUUGAACUUGUUUUUAUGAGUAAGCUAUGGCAUUCUGGUCAUGUGUUAUCUUGUUGAUAAACUCCUGAUAUUUGGCUAAAUGCUCAUUUUCAAGCUUUAGGAAGCA